rnacentral:rRNA from 1 species
UGGGUUUAAAUGGGGUAAGGCGGGUCCUGACAGUGGUCGUAAAAAGCCCGGGCUCCACCCCUCCGAGCCUUGGAAACAGUCGGACUAGAGACGGCGAGAAGUACACUGAAGGUGCGGCGUAGCGUGAAAAAUCAUAGAUUUGCCGCAGACUUUCGGUGUGAUGUCAGCGUACCGCGUCCGGCAGGAUGAUGAGGCACGAAAGCGUGGGUAUCGAACAGGAUCAGAUACCUUUCUAGUCCGCGCAGUCAACGAUGAAUGCCAGUAGUUCGGCCCGACAAUGGCAUGGUCGGUGUUGCGAAAGCGAUAGGCAUUCCACUUGCGGAGGAUGCCUGCACCGGUGAUAUUCAAAAGAACAGGCGGGGGCCCGCACAAGCGGAGGAACAUGAGGUUUACUUCGAGGAUAGGCGUGGUACUUUACCCGGGCUCAAACGCAGGAGGAAUGUUUCUGAAAGGAGGCAGCUUUUCGGAGUCUCCUGCGAGGAGUUGCAUGGUUGUCGUCAGCUCGUGCCGGGAGGCGUUGGUUUAAGUACCAUAAGGAGUGCUACCCCUACCGCCAGUUGCCAACGGGAUAUGCCGGGAAUUAUGGCGGGACAGCCGGCGCAAGAUGAGAGGAAGGCGGGGAAGAGGUCAAAUCUAGCACGGCCUCUAUACGUCUCGGGGGGGCACACUUUUUACAAUGGCAGGUACAGCGGGAAGCCACUCGGAGACAAGGAGCGGAACCGGAAAACUUGUCUCCGUUAGGAUGCGAGUUUGCAACCCGACUCCCCAUAGAGGAUUAGCUAGUAAUCGCGCAUCAGCCACGGCGCGGAGAAUACGAUCCAAGGGCAUUGUACACACCGCCCCUCAAG